UGAUAAAAAAAGAACAAUCCCAAUUAUAGAAUUAACAAAUAAUAAUAAUAAUACAGUGAGCAUUAAAGAUAUGGAUUUUAUAACUGAUCUUUUUUUCAUAUUUUUUCUCGCAACAUUCUUGGUGAUGCUAACAUACAUAUGUGUAUGUUGCUGUAUUUUUUCCUGGCAUUGCUGUAAAAAUUUCUUCAUGAAAGUGAUUAUUCGCUGCAUUCGAUGCAUUUAUCGGUUUCUUUGGAGGAGAUAUAUGCAACAACGUAGAUAUCGUUUCAGUCGAUAGAUCGAGAAGGUAUUCCAUUAUCUUUUUACACAAGGUUCAGGCGAAGAAACUAUUUAAUCCAAUGCGUAAUUAAACAUUUUUAAACAGUUAUUUCAUCCAAAAAUAGGACUCAAUUGUUAUUACAAUUGGCAAUAAUUCAUUAAACUAUAAUACUAUAACGACAACUUGCGAAAUGAAUUCCUAGCAACGCAUUUCUAAGUAUUUUUUUUAAUAAUAUUGUAUUAUAAAAAAAUAUCUUAUAUA